rnacentral:rRNA from 1 species
GAUGAACGCUGGCGGCGUGCUUAACACAUGCAAGUCGAACGGUGAAGGCGGAGCUUGCUCUGCUGGAUCAGUGGCGAACGGGUGAGUAACACGUGAGCAAUCUGCCCCUGACUCUGGGAUAAGCGCUGGAAACGGCGUCUAAUACUGGAUACGAGCUGCGAAGGCAUCUUCAGCAGCUGGAAAGAACUUCGGUCAGGGAUGAGCUCGCGGCCUAUCAGCUUGUUGGUGAGGUAACGGCUCACCAAGGCGUCGCCGGGUAGCCGGCCUGAGAGGGUGACCGGCCACACUGGGACUGAGACACGGCCCAGACUCCUACGGGAGGCAGCAGUGGGGAAUAUUGCACAAUGGGCGAAAGCCUGAUGCAGCAACGCCGCGUGAGGGACGACGGCCUUCGGGUUGUAAACCUCUUUUAGCAGGGAAGAAGCGAAAGUGACGGUACCUGCAGAAAAAGCGCCGGCUAACUACGUG